rnacentral:sRNA from 1 species
AUUUUUACGGCUAUGUCACACUCGGUCUCAAGCCCCGUCCCUUUCAGCCAGUUACCUUUAAUGUACAGGCUGGAACUGCACGUAUAGCCGGUGGGGGGGUUGGUUUUACGGUUUGUGCAGGAAAUACUG